rnacentral:rRNA from 1 species
ACGUAGGGGGCAAGCGUUAUCCGGAAUUAUUGGGCGUAAAGAGUGCGUAGGUGGUUUUUUAAGCGUGAGGUGAAAGGCAAUAGCUUAACUAUUGUAAGCCUUGCGAACUGGAAGACUUGAGUGCAGGAGAGGAAAGUGGAAUUCCUAGUGUAGCGGUGGAAUGCGUAGAUAUUAGGAGGAACACCAGUGGCGAAGGAGAAUGUCUGGACUUAAACUGACGCUGAGCCGCGUGAACGUGGGUAACAAAAAG